CUCUUCAUGUUGUCUGUUGAGAUGUUCCGUAUUGAGAUUGACUAAAGGGAGCUCAUCAGUGCUUUAUAUUUUUUCUCCAGGCCUAAUGAUUCUGUUGAGGUGGCCCUGUUGGACGGUAUCAUGAUGAGAGGUGGGGCUGGGAUUACCCUUCCAGGCAUGAUCAAAGUGGUGACUGAUGGAACUGCAAAGACUUGGUGGAAUUGAAGAACGCCUUGGUAAAAUGAUAACCGAUGGCCCUUCUGUCAUAGAAUCAUCUCUUGCUGCAUUUGGUGAUCUCGUCUAUCCUCCGAAAGUGACCUCGUUUCGCCAGUUUAGGCUCCUGAUAACAGGAGCGUUCUUUCCAAAUCUUUAUCACUUUCCAAGCCUUUCUUGUUCCACAGGCUCGAUGCAACAGCUAGGUGUUUUAGCCACGACACUGUUGAGGAAAUUUUGGAAGCCUUGCUUGCUGACCUCUACUAAGAAUCAAAACUUCACGGAAGUAUUUUUUGUUUUAAUCCACACGUUUAGGAAAGAGAGGCUGCAGAGUCUUAUGAUGAAUGGUAUUCUUCAACCCUGAAGUUACUUUAGAGAAGCCUCGCCAUUGAGCUGAAAGUUACUCUAAAAUCUAUCUGUGAGUUUUCGAAGUCUCGGCCAAUGUCUUGCUCGUGAAUACAGUAAAUCCCUCAUCUCCGGAUUUCUAUGAGGUGAAUUACCUGAACUAGAGCUGCCCACUGCGUUACGGGAACCAAAUUCACGGUAAAGAAGCAAAAAUAUACCCGACGUCUAUUUGGUGGGGCCACAAUUAUUGUUUCAGCCAUUCAUUCCUGCAGUCCAGAGGAUGAAUUUCAUCUCUGCAAUGACCAUUUUGGUAUGACUUUUUUUUCUCUCUCAUAUAAUAUAUUAUUGUUUUUAACGAGCCAAUCUAUUUUUACGGAUAGAUAGUUUGUAGAGGUGUACAUUCAACUGGAUAUUCUGAAUCAACACAACUUGAUGGGUUAGAUUGGGUUCAUUUUUUUGAACCCAAAAGGAUUCGGUUUGGUUUUGAGUUCCUUAGAUAAAAACUCCAA